UACAGAGGUCUCGAGCGUUAGGCGGAAUCACUGGGCUUAAAGCGUGUGUAGGUGGAUCGGUAAGUACCUUGUGAAAUCCCACGGCUUAACUGUGGAACUGCUUGGUAUACUGCCAGUCUUGAGCCAGCUAGGGGCUACCGGAACAAAUGGUGGAGCGGUGAAAUGCGUAGAUAUCAUUUGGAACGCCAAUGGUGAAAACAGGUAGCUGGGGCUGUGCUGACACUGAGACACGAAAGCCAGGGGAGCGAACGGG
rnacentral:rRNA from 1 species